UGAAGAUGGUGAAAGGACUGUGACUUCGUGACCUCUUCCGACGAGGUCCCUAACUGCUGAAGGUACUGUCCCAUCACCUUCAC
rnacentral:tRNA from 1 species